rnacentral:rRNA from 1 species
GAUCCUGGCUCAGGAUGAACGCUGGAGGCGUGCCUAACACAUGCAAGUCGAACGGACUUACAUUGAAGCCUAGCGAUAUGUAAGUUAGUGGCGGACGGGUGAGUAACGCGUGGGUAACCUGCCUUGUACUGGGGGACAACAGUUGGAAACGACUGCUAAUACCGCAUAAGCGCACAGCUUCGCAUGAAGCAGUGUGAAAAACUACCGGUGGUACAAGAUGGACCCGCCGUCUGAUUAG